GGCUACGUAGCUCAGUUGGUUAGAGCACAUCACUCAUAAUGUUUGGGUCACAGGUUCGAAUCGCGUCGUAGCCACCA
rnacentral:tRNA from 1 species